rnacentral:rRNA from 1 species
UACGUAGGGGGCAAGCGUUGUCCGGAUUUAUUGGGCGUAAAGAGCGUGUAGGCGGCUUUACAGGUCCGUUGUGAAAACUCGAGGCUCAACCUCGAGACGCCGGUGGAAACCGUAAAGCUAGAGUCCGGAAGAGGAGAGUGGAAUUCCUGGUGUAGCGGUGAAAUGCGCAGAUAUCAGGAGGAACACCAAUGGCGAAGGCAGCUCGCUGGGACGGUACUGACGCUGAGACGCGAAAGCGUGGGGAGCAAACAGG